GGGGAUUUAGCUCAGUGGUAGAGCGCUUGCCUAGCAAGUGCAAGGCCCUGGGUUCGGUUCCCAGUUCCG
rnacentral:tRNA from 1 species